rnacentral:rRNA from 1 species
GGAGUAUGGACCGUGUCUCAGUUCCAUUGUGGGGGACCUUCCUCUCAGAACCCCUACCCAUCGUCGCCUCGGUGGGCCGUUACCCCGCCGACUAGCUAAUGGGACGCGAGCCAAUCCGUGACCACCAGGGUUUUCAACCAGUCCUCAUGCGGGGACCGAUCCUAUGGGGGGUUAGGCGACGUUUCCAUCGGUUAUCCCCCGGUCACGGGCAUGUCGCUCACGCGUUACGCACCCUUGCGCCGGUCGCCGGCAUCCAUUGCUGGACCCGCUGCCCCUCGACUUGCAUGUGUUAAGCCUGCCGCUAGCGUUCAUC